rnacentral:rRNA from 1 species
AUUGAACGCUGGCGGGAGGCCUAAUACAUGCAAGUCGAACGGUAAAUGGUAGCAAUACUAUGAGAGUGGCGUACGGGUGCGUAACGCGUACACAACCUGCCUUGUACUGGGGGAUAGCCUCGGGAAACUGAGAUUAAUACCCCAUAAUUUUACGAUGUGGCAUCACAUUGUAAUUAAAGCUCCGGCGGUACAAGAUGGGUGUGCGUCCGAUUAGGUAGUUGGUGAGGUAACGGCUCACCAAGCCGACGAUCGGUAGCUGGUCUGAGGGGACGAUCAGCCACACGGGCUCUGAGACACGGGCCCGACUCCUACGGGAGGCAGCAGUAGGGAAUAUUGGACAAUGGACGCAAGUCUGAUCCAGCCAUCCCGCGUGAAGGAUUAAGGCCCUCUGGGUUGUAAACUUCUUUUCUUUGGGAAUAAGAAGCGGUAUUCAUAUCGCCUUGAAGGUACCAGGGGAAUAAGCACCGGCUAACUCCGUGCCAGCCGCCGCAGUAA